GAGAGAGAACGUGAUAGACUUUCUGAUUCUGAUUUCUCGGAUGACUCAGACUGGACUCCUUUUAAGGAGCAAGGAGGAUUUGGUAGCAGAUUAUUUGAUUUAUCCGAUUUGGGGAAAAAUCUUCUUUCAGAUAUUGAGUAUUCAUUGCCAAUGAGGCUUACUGCUGGAGAACAAAAACACCCUGUUCUAUUAUGUCCAUUUGGAUUGUACUGAAGGUGUACUUCUGUGCUCUCCAACAAGUUCAAACUCUGGCCGCCUAAAAUUGAUACUGGACAACUUUCGAAUGAUGGCACCAUUGAUUCAUGAUCUGUUACAAAAUACAAUGAGAUUCAAGAAGUUAAAAGUCCAGGAAGUUUCUGAUUGUU